AGCAGAAAUAUAGAGGCGUCUACUUCUCAUUCGCCAGCUGCACAAGAGUGAGAGUCCGAACGUCUCGUGUACUGGUCGUUACAAUUUGGAGCAGUCUUCUUCGCCGGGCACAAUGGUGUAUCUCUAUCACUACACUUCAUCCGACGGAUAUGCAGGAAUUUUAGUGGAUGGAGUUAUCCGCCGGUCUACAGACACGAAUCGAGAUGCAGUUCUGGGAAAAGGUGUUUACUUGACCGCUCUUCCCCCUUGGACAGAUGAUAUGAAGCUGCUGAAGAACAACUGGGACGGGAGUUCUGAACGGCGGCUUUUAGAGAAACUCGAUAAUUUGGACUAUUAUAUAAGAUUUGAUUCGAGGGAUCUCCCAAACGUUAAAAGAGCACCAGGCAAGCGCGAUAUUUGGAUGGUAUCGUAUGACAUUGUUCUGGAGGAAGUACCACACGAAGUGUGUGUGCGAGGAAACAAUGUGGCUGUCGCAACGCGUUACGGGUAUCUGUAACACACCCAGCAGCAUUGGGCAAAUCCAUGCCUGCUUUGUAGUGCACUGUAUUCAUGUGUGUGUAGUGCUGUUGUAUUGUCCGAAUAAAAUAAUCAUUUAAUUCGAUCAAAUA